rnacentral:rRNA from 1 species
AACACGGACCAAGGAGUGCAACAUGCGUGCGAGUCUUGGGGUGGCAAACCCGUCGGCGCAAUGAAAGUGAAGGCAGAUUCUGGUCUGCUGAGGCGAGAGCCUCCCCCGUGGGGGCCCAUCGUCGACCGAUCCCAGGCUACGCUGUGGCGGGAUUUGAGUGAGAGCGUGCCUGUUGCGACCCGAAAGAUGGUGAACUAUGCCUGAAUAGGGCGAAGCCAGAGGAAACUCUGGUGGAAGCUCGCAGCGAUUCUGACGUGCAAAUCGAUCGUCAAAUUUGGGUAUAGGGGCGAAAGACUAAUCGAACCAUCUAGUAGCUGGUUCCCUCCGAAGUUUCCCUCAGGAUAGCUGGAGCCCGGUGCAGUUUUAUCAGGUAAAGCGAAUGAUUAGAGGUCUUGGGGUUGAAACAACCUCAACCUAUUCUCAAACUUUAAAUGGGUAAGAAGCCCGGCUUGCUUAAUUGAAGUCGGGCAUGGAAUGCCGGGGCUCCUAGUGGGCCAUUUUUGGUAAGCAGAACUGGCGAUGUGGGAUGAACCAAAUGCCGGGUUAAGGUGCCCGAAUCGACGCUCAUCAGAUCCCAUGAAAGGUGUUGGUUGAUAUAGACAGCAGGACGGUGGCCAUGGAAGUCGGAAUCCGCUAAGGAGUGUGUAACAACUCA